AUGUUAGAAGGUGCAAAAUCAAUAGGUGCUGGAGCUGCUACAAUUGCUUCAGCGGGAGCUGCUGUAGGUGUAAUCCCUAAGGACGAGGCCCCCAGCAAUGGGGGGGAAAGAAGAGUGGGGGAAGUGGCGGAUUCCCCGGAAAAACGCCUUAAAAUAGCGAAGGUUUUGGAGGAGCUUUCCACAAACCGUGAUUCCUUGGGAGAGGUGAGCCGCUUACGCUGUGAGGAGACAGGAGCUCUCGAGCUUAGAGAAGUUCCCUAG